GUCUCUGUCGAUUAGUGGUCAAAUCAUCUCGUUGUGGCGUGCUGCUCCGAGAAGCCGCAGGCUCGAAUCCUGCCAGGGACA